CCGGGUGACGUCAUAGACAAUCAGGCCAGCGGCGCGCGCAUUGUGAAGAGCUCUUCCGGAGCAUUUGUCGCAUGAAGCCGAAGGUUUUGACGUCAAAGCUCUUGAAUGCAGAAUUUGCUGCAAACAUUAGCGGUAUGGCAGUUAGAAUUAUUUACAAGAGAGACAUAAGAGACUCAAGAUUACUGAAUCUGGCACUUUAAACAAUCUGCAGGAGGAGCUCAGCGGGUCAGGCAACAUCUGUGGGUGAAGUGAGGGGUCCAUAUUGUCAUCUUGGAACUUGAAUAAUGGUAUUUGGAGUUAAAUUCAUGGGAAGUAGCCUUUGUGACACCAUCAGACAAGAGAAAAUCUGCAGAUGCUGGAAAUCCAAGCAACACACACAAAAUGAUGGAGGAACUCAGCAGGCCAGGCAGCAGCUAUGGAAAGGAGUAUUGUCGACGUUUUGAGCCGAAGAUUUACACAGAACCACUACUGGGGAUAAUAAACAAAAUGUCAGAGAUACAAAGGAAGCUCCACCAAAAUAAUAACUUCAGAGUAACGACUGGAAAGGGAUCAAAGAUAAAUAAAACUUCACA